UACGUAGGGGGCAAGCGUUGUCCGGAUUUAUUGGGCGUAAAGAGCUCGUAGGCGGCUGUUCAAGUCGAACGUGAAAACUCGGAGCUCAACUCCGAGCCUGCGUUCGAUACUGGACGGCUAGAGUCUGGUAGGGGGAUCUGGAAUUCCUGGUGUAGCGGUGGAAUGCGCAGAUAUCAGGAGGAACACCGGUGGCGAAGGCGGUUCUCUGGGCAUUACCUGACGCUGAGACGCGAAAGCGUGGGGAGCAAACAGG
rnacentral:rRNA from 1 species